CCACAGGUCCGGUAGCGGCCUGUCGGUUCUGCGCCCCGCGCGGAGCUGCAGAGGGCCUAGGGCUUGGGGUGCAUUCUCCGGAGCCCAGGGUCACAGCCGGGGGACGGUGCCAACGGAAGAUCCGUUUUUACGUGGCUCACUCUGGCUCUGCCACCUCUAUUUUAAAGGGACAUUUUGGGGUAAAACCAAAAAGUUCUGAGGCCCUAGCCUGUGCCCAAGACGCGCCCCUACUCUUUUCUCGCUAAAGGACCACGGAGAGCCCCGGGCGUCCCAGUGUCUGCGGUUGAGCCUCCAUUCUUUUUAUUGUUCCCAAGGGACAGUUGCCUGACCGUUCACUUGUAAACCAAAAUCUUGUGAAAAUCUGCACAAAGGAACUGGGAAGAAGCCAAGGCAGUUAAACCACUUAACCUAGCGGUCCCCAAUCUUUCUAGCACCAGUGACUUGCGCUCCUAUGAGAAUCUAACGCCUGAUGAUCUGAGGUGGAGCUGAGGCAGUGAUGCUAGUGUUGAGAAGUGGCUGCAAAUACAGCUGAAGCUUCGCUUGCUUGCCCGCUGCUCACCUCCUACUAUGCGGCCCGGUUCCUAACAGGCCACAAACUGGUACCCAUCUGCGGCCCAGGGGUUGGGACCCCUGGCUUAGCCAUUCCUCAUCUGGCCUUCAGGGGUCCUCCACCUAAUUCCCUUUCAGCCCCCACAAGGCAACUCUUUGAAGACCUGCAACUGAAUCUCAUUUUUACGAUUGGAAGGAUUAAGUCUGAUGUAGCUCUUCUUCCUGUGACUGAGCCGGCAGACCCUCCACAGCUCCAUGCAUAAGUUAUGAGGUUUAGUUGUUGGCAGCACUGUCUGUUACGUCGACAGCAGCAUCGCCUAACAGUUGCUGGAGAAGCUACAAUCUCAAACUACAUUGUGGCUGUAAACAGACUCUUGCUGCUGGUCAGAAGCAGCAAACUGGAUUUCUUGCAUCGAGAGUGAACGCGGUCAUCUGCUCUUUGGCUUAGAGCAAGGAAAGUGUCCUCCCAUCAAGGGAGUUCAUCCUGAAGGUUGACUGCAGGAAAGAUCCCGGGGAGCAGACACUGAGGACAGGACUGUGGAGUUGGAGGAAUCACAAGCCAGCCAGUGAUGAGUGCCCUGUCCUUACCGCUGGAAGAGAGAGAGCCUUCCCCACUGGAUGACAUCAGCCCCAUGAUUCAGAACGAUGCCAUCGAAAGGCUCAUCUCACCGAUGAUGGUGCAGCUUUGCCACCUGAUCAUCACCAUGGGGAGGAGUGACCUGGGGGGUGACGCGUUCACCUCUUUGGGGAAGACGGCAGAGGAGCUGGCUCGGGCUAGUGAUGAGUUUGUGCAAGUUGCCAAAAGGUAACUAUUUCCAAGAAUCUGACCUGUUUGCACUUAUGCACACACAGGUAGAGAGAGAAAGAGAGAAAUUAUAAAGCAAAUGUGGCAAAAAUGAGGACAAUUGGUGAAUCUGGUUGUUACUGGAGUUUGUUGUAUUUUUGCAACUUUUUGGGAAGUUUGAAAUUUUAUAAAAGUAAAAAGUUACAAAAAUAUUGUUGAAGAAAGCUCACACUUAAAAGUUAAGUGAGUCCUCAAAAAAAUUAAAAAUAGAAUGACCAUGUGAUCCAGCAAUUCCCCUGUAGGUGUAUACUCCAAAAAAUGAAAGGAAGGACUCAGACAGAUACCCCCAUGUUCGGAGCAGUAUCAUUCACCACAACCAAAAAGUGGAAGCAACCCAAGUGUCCACUGAUGGCUGAAUGGACAAACAGAAUGUGUACACACAUUCAAUGGAAUAUUACUCAGCCUUAAAAAAGAAGGAAAUUCUGACACAGGCUACAACUUGGAUGAACCUUAAAGACAUGAUGCUGAGUGAAAUAAGCCAGUCACAAAAGGGCACAUUACUGUAUGACUCCACUUACGUGAGGUACCUAGAGUGUCAGAUUCAUAGAGACAGAAAGCAGAUGGUGGGAGCCAGGGGUUGGGGUGGGUUUGCCCAUGGAGAGAUGGAAAGUUCUUUAGUUGGUACAGAGUUUCAGUCUGGGAAGAUGAAAAAAACUGUAGAGGUGGAUGGUUGCACAUUGUGAAUAUACUUCGUGCCGCUGGACUGUACAGUUAAAAAUGGGUAAGAUGGCAAAUGUUCUGUCACGUGUAUUUGAACACACACAAAAGAUAUGGAGUUGGGAAACUGUACAUAGUAUGGCCCCAAUUAUGAAAUAAAAAAAUGUAUGGAAAUAAACUUUCCAAAAUAUUUAUAAUAAUUUACUUAGGAGUUUGAGGAUAGAUUGAUUUUAUACUAAUACUCUUUUGCACAUUCUAAGUCUUCUAACACAAUGCAAUUAUUAAUUUAAAAAAAAAGGCAUGGCGAAUUUUGAGAUACAUCCAACAUCUUUUUUGUUUGUUUCAAUAUAAAUGCCUUUGCUGUAUUGUCUGUUCCGGGCAAAUAAAUUAUUGAUAAAGAGAA